CUCAAGGUCCAGUAACUUCUGGAAGCCCAAGAGAGAGCUCAUAUUCAGAGGACAGGAAGACAAUUCCAGACCAUUGGUCCACAGAGGUGUCACCUGUCCUUCUGUGUCUGUGUCAGCCUCACUGCCCCCUGACUUACCCCUGCCCCCAGGAAAAAUGUCACAGAAUGGCCAUCCUAACAGGCGUAAGGUGCUAUCUAGUUGUGGUUUUGAUUUGCAUUUCUUUGAUGAGUCAUCUUGGCCUGUCCUUGACUGGAGACACAUUUUGGAAGCUGUUGGCACUCUCUGUUAAUGGACAUUUGGGUUAUUCCCUCCCGUUCUCCCCUGAACUGGCUCUUCCCAGAUACAUCCUGCUUUAGUGAGCUCAGCUUCUCUGCCAACUUCAUCUGUGAAGCUGUCUUAAAGUAUGAGAAGUCAUUAUCAGUGUUCAGGAUCUCAGGAAAGGAUGGUCUGAUCUCUUUGGGCCCAGAGCGUUUCACCUCUCAAGCAUCCUAAGUUCUUCAGUGUUCUGGACUCCAUAGUGGGGCAUCAAGGGUCAUCAGGGCUGAUUCUCAGAGGCCUAGCCAGCUCAGCCGAAAUGUCCAAGGCUCAGGCAGUGGGCCCUGGACAGGGGAUGUUGGCAUCCUCCAAUGAAAUGAUUCCAUCCAUCUUCCUGAGACAGGAAGGUGGACAGGAAUCUCUCUAAGGAAGACACAUGAGAUCUCCUCUAGUCUGUGGUCAGCCUUGAGGUACCACACCUGCCCAAGGUGAGCAGGUUUUUGGCUAAGGGUGAAUGGUUCAUAUCAGUUCUCCCCUACCCUGGAUGCAUUGUCUGAGGUGUUUUGCAUGCUAGGCUCUUGGCCUCUGUCUCAGAGUCUUGAAAAGAGACAGAGCAGAGCUCUCCUGCUCACAGUCUGUAUCUGCACUCAUCCAGGAUCUUCCACUUAAACGAGCUCUCAACAUCAUGGACAAACUUCCAGCAUGUGAGUAGAUUCACAUCUGAGGCUACAUCUUUGGUGUUUGCAAAAUAGUGAUAAGGAUUCCAUGGUUGAAAGAGGAAGCUGUGGUCAGGCCCCACCACUCCAGGGACAGUAGCUCAGUGCUGCUCUGAAGGGGCCUGGCUGCCCCUUUCUGUCCACUGAUGGCUGAGAUAAGAAUAUUCUCCAAUCUUGAAAAUGGCUUAUAAGUCUUUAACUCUCUAGAGUUGCAGGGACCUUCUUGGGGUUUAUUAACGCAAUAAUAGAAAAAUAGUUAUUGCACUCAAGUUGCUUAAGAGGCCCUCUCUGGACAGGAGCAUCAAAGAUUAACAAAGCAGAUGAAGCCACUUGCCCCAGGGUGGUGAACUUGCUGAGCCUGCCUGUGGCUCUUUCCUUCUGGCUGUCACCUGGUUGCUCCAGUAGGUCAUUCAGAUCUCCAUGUCCUACUAAGAAACUCCCCUCAUUUAUCCCACUAGGAAACAUCCAUUACCCUUAUCAUUUUCUAUCCACUCAGCCCAAUUUAUUUUUCUCCUUGCAGUUAUCACAAUGUAAACCCAAAGAAGGUACAGACAGUUCUACCUUAGCACUGUCUUAUCCUCA